AGUUGCGAUCAUACCAGCACUAAUGCACCAUAUCCCAUCAGAACUCCUCAGUUAAGCGUGCUCGGGCGAGAGUAGUACUAGGAUGGGUGACCCCCUGGGAAGUCUUCGUGUUGCAACCUUC
rnacentral:rRNA from 1 species